GCAAUGCGGCGGGGCUACCAUGCAGUCGAGCGAUGAUCCGGUGCUUGCACCGGGGAUUAGUGGCGAACGGGUGAGUAACACGUGAGUAACCUGCCCUUGACUCUGGGAUAAGCCUGGGAAACCGGGUCUAAUACCGGAUAUGACCUGUCACCGCAUGGUGGUGGGUGGAAAGAUUUUUUGGUCUUGGAUGGACUCGCGGCCUAUCAGCUUGUUGGUGGGGUAAUGGCCUACCAAGGCGACGACGGGUAGCCGGCCUGAGAGGGUGACCGGCCACACUGGGACUGAGACACGGCCCAGACUCCUACGGGAGGCAGCAGUGGGGAAUAUUGCACAAUGGGCGCAAGCCUGAUGCAGCGACGCCGCGUGAGGGAUGAAUGCCUUCGGGUUGUAAACCUCUUUCAGCAGGGAAGAAGCGAAAGUGACGGUACCUGCAGAAGAAGCGCCGGCUAACUACGUGCCAGCAGCCGCGGUAAUACGUAGGGCGCAAGCGUUGUCCGGAAUUAUUGGGCGUAAAGAGCUCGUAGGCGGUUUGUCGCGUCUGCUGUGAAAGCCCGGGGCUCAACCCCGGGUCUGCAGUGGGUACGGGCAGACUAGAGUGCAGUAGGGGAGACUGGAAUUCCUGGUGUAGCGGUGAAAUGCGCAGAUAUCAGGAGGAACACCGAUGGCGAAGGCAGGUCUCUGGGCUGUAACUGACGCUGAGGAGCGAAAGCAUGGGGAGCGAACAGGAUUAGAUACCCUGGUAGUCCAUGCCGUAAACGUUGGGCACUAGGUGUGGGGGACAUUCCACGUUUUCCGCGCCGUAGCUAACGCAUUAAGUGCCCCGCCUGGGGAGUACGGCCGCAAGGCUAAACUCAAAGGAAUUGACGGGGGCCCGCACAAGCGGCGGAGCAUGCGGAUUAAUUCGAUGCAACGCGAAGAACCUUACCAAGGCUUGACAUGGGCCGGACCGGGCUGGAACAGUCCUUUCCCUUCAGGGCCGGUUCACAGGUGGUGCAUGGAUGUCGUCAGCUCGUGUCGUGAGAUGUUGGGUUAAGUCCCGCAUCGAGCGCAAUCCUCGAUUCAUGUGCAGCGCGUAUGGCGCGACUCAUGCGAGACUGCCUGGAUCAACUCGGACGGAUGGUGGGGACG
rnacentral:rRNA from 1 species